AAUGAACGUUGGCGGCGUGGAUUAGGCAUGCAAGUCGCGCGAGAAGUCAUUUAGCUUGCUAAAAGACGGACAGCGGCGGAAGGGAGAGUAACGCGUGGUUAUGUACCCUCGAGACCGGGAUAGUGUCGGGAAACUGGCAGUAAUACCGGAUAACAUCUUCGGAUCAAAUGGUGUGAUUCCGCUCGAGGAUCGGACCGCGUACUAUUAGCUAGUUGGAGGGGUAAUGGCCCACCAAGGCUUAGAUGGUUACCGGGUGUGAGAGCAUGGCCCGGCUCACUGGGACCGAGACGCUGCCCAGACAUCUACGGAUGGCUGAAGUCGAGGACCUUCGGCAAUGGGCGAAAGUCUGACCGAGCGACGGCGCGUGCGGGAUGAAGGCCUCCGGGUUGUAACCCGCUGUCAGUUAGGAGGAAAUCCAUGAGGGUUCUCUCUCAUGGUUGACCGAUUUUCAGAGGAAGGACGGGCUAAGUUCGUGCCAGCCGCCGCGGUAAGAC
rnacentral:rRNA from 1 species